rnacentral:rRNA from 1 species
UACCAGCGCCCCGAGUGGUCGGGACGUUUAUUGGGCCUAAAGCAUCCGUAGCCGGUUCUACAAGUCUUCCGUUAAAUCCACCUGCUCAACAGAUGGGCUGCGGAAGAUACUAUGGAGCUAGGAGGCGGGAGAGGCAAGCGGUACUCGAUGGGUAGGGGUAAAAUCCGUUGAUCCAUUGAAGACCACCAGUGGCGAAGGCGGCUUGCCAGAACGCGCUCGACGGUGAGGGAUGAAAGCUGGGGGAGCAAACAGG